UCCGGAGGGUGCGAGCGUUAAUCGGAAUUACUGGGCGUAAAGCGCACGUAGGUGGUUGGGUAAGUCGGAUGUGAAAGCCAUGGGCUUAACCUGUGAACUGCAUUCGAUACUGCCCGGCUAGAGUAUGGGAGAGGGAAGCGGAAUUUCCGGUGUAGCGGUGAAAUGCGUAGAUAUCGGAAGGAACAUCAAUGGCGAAGGCAGCUUCCUUGCCCAAUACUGACGCUCAGGUGCGAAAGCGUGGGGAUCAAACAGG
rnacentral:rRNA from 1 species